AAAGAGAGAGAGAGAGAUAAAUAAAAAGAUAGAGAGAGAAAAAACAGGAGGAGGACAAAGAACGCGAGAAAAUAAAAUCUGAUAGGGAAAAAAGAUUAAAAAAAUCAAUAAAUGGAAAAGCGAGAAAAUUGAACGGAUGUCAGCCCAUGAAUGUGACCAAGAGAAAGGUGAGAGAAAUGGAGAAAAAAGGAAAAUACCAAAGAACGGUAGAUACGGAGAGAUAAAAACAACCAUUUACUACAGAUCACAUACACGCACGUGAAAGCGAAAGCAAAAUGAAUAACACAUACUACAGUCCAUCGAGUAUGUACUACCUACCCAUCAUAUUGGCAGCAGCAGCAGCAGACCACGGGGUAAAAAAAAUCUGAUCACUCCGUUGGUUCGCUGAAAUAAACCGAGUGAAUGUCCGCCCGUCUGGAAUGGGGAUUAGCUAGCAGCUUGCUAUUGCUAGGCGAACCGCGAACGGCGUCCGCCCCACCCGGCCCGGCCAGGGCGGGUGGAAAGCGAUCCGAUUUUGUCCCGGCCUCGAUCGCAUCCGCGCGCCGUGCCCCCCCUACUACGUGUUUUUGUUGGCACCGGCUCACAGUCUUCGCUCUUCCGCCCCACCCGAGCCGGAGUCAUGGCAUGCCUUCCCUAACCGUGACAGUAUAUAUAUAACCACAUCGGUUGCAAACCAUCCAUUCUCACUCCUCCCACUGGCGGUCGGUUCCCACGCCCGCCCAACGCCUUCGCGGUCGUCCUUGAGUUGCGCCUUGCGCCUUGCCAUGGCCGUGCAGGGGCGGCACCUGUCGCACGACCUAGCAGCCCAGGCGGCGGGCGGCUACCUGUUCCUGGACGAGUACGCCGGGUGCGCGCCAGCCGCGGCCCCGGCCCCGGCCCGGAUCGGGGACGCCACGACGGCGCUCAGCGACUUCCCGCGCGUCGAGGUUGCCUGGUGCAACUACGACGGCUUCCUGCCGAGGAAGCGGCCGCGCCUGGAGACGGCGGCGCCAGCAGCGGGCGGUGGUCUCUCAGAAGACCAGCGCGCGGGUUUGCCUCCGGCGGGCACGGAGCGCCUGCUGCCACUGCCUGUGGCUGUGGCACCGUUCGUCAACGCGCGGAGCCGCCGGGCGGUGGCGGCCUCCGGCACGGCGUCCACCAGUGGGAGGGUGGCAAGUGGCGCGACCGUGGCGGCCUCGCGGGGACUGCUGUCGUCGUGGACGCACCGCCACGGCGUGGAGAUCGACGCGCUCGUUAGACUUGAGGCAGAGAGGAUGCGCGCGGCGCUGGAGGAGGCGCGGCGGCGGCACGCCCGCGCGCUGCUGGCCGCCGUGGGGCGCGCCGCGUCGGGGCGGCUGCGCGCGUCGGAGACGGACCUCGAGCGCGCGCUCCGGCGCGGCGCGGAGCUGGAGGAGAAGGCCCGGCAGGCGGGCGCCGAGUGCCAGGCGUGGAUGGCCGUCGCCAGGAGGCACGAGGCCGCCGCCGCUGGCCUCCGCGCCACGCUGGACCAGCUCCUGCAGUCACCCUAUGGCGCCGGCGGCGGCCGCGAGGAAGGCGGUGAGGCCGAGGACGCCGAGUCGUGUUGCUUCGAGGACGGCGGCGCGUCGUGCGCGUCCAGGUCCAAGCUGGCGUGCAGGUCGUGCGGCGCCGGCGAGGCGUCCGUGCUGCUGCUCCCGUGCCGGCACCUGUGCCUGUGCCGCGCGUGCGAGGCCGGCGUGGACGCCUGCCCCGUCUGCGCGGCCGCCAAGAACGGCUCGCUCCACGUCCUCGUCUCCUGAUGGACUGAACAUGUUCGUCGCCGACUGGUUACGCUACGUCACACGAGGCCAUGGCAGGAGACGAGGCUUCCUGCGGACGCGAUGCGCCGGUUACGGUUGAUGCGCGGUUCAUGCGCGAACGCAAUGUGGCACAGCACAGAACGUCCUGGCAAAUCGUGCGAUGGCCAUUCUGUUAAUAAUAACCGGAGAUAUGGCCGCAGAAGUGGAUCGGGGACGAUGUCCAACGAAGGGUGAAAAAAAAAGUUCUCUUCACGUGCACCAACAACAAGUCACAAACUCACCAGUGUCCACUGCCUUCUCUUCAAAGCACCGCGUUGGAUGCUGGAUGGAGAUCGUUCUCCUGGUGGAGAUUGCCAAGGGUUUAGUCAGUCCUUGAGGCGUUGUCUGGUUCUGAUUCUGAAGAUAUCAUUUUUUUCUUCUUCUAAACACACAGUUUUACCAAAUAUUUUUUUUCUUAUAAGAAAAGCCGCCGCAGAGAGAGAGAGAGAAAAAAACUGUUCAAUAAGAUAAGCCACUGCUGCUCUGUUUUGGUUGAAGAUGGAGAGAUCGAGGCCUUAUAAAUCCAAGCAGUGGUUUACAUGUCCACUUGCUCUGCGUCUACGCACGCGCCAACAGUGGUUAGACGAGACAUCAUCCAGCAGCAGGUGGACAGUAAUUUGAAAAUGAUCGGGCAGCACAAGCACGACAACGACCCGCGCUAAAUCCAUUGCAUCCGUGCCGUGAUGCUGUCCAUCGAAGGCUGGCAUGCGCAUGUGUUUGUAGCGUGCGCUGCCUGUAAUCUGCCGUGAAACAUGCCGGGCACACUGGCGGUCUGUACUCGCCGUCGCUGUCUGCGGGGGUGCCGUCCUCGUCCUCGUGAGAUCACUUUCACUGCAGGCAGACGAGACGAUGCAUCUCGCCCCCGCAACCUAAGGCCUUAUUCGUUUGGGCCGGGAAUGGUCUGGAUUGGGAAAGAAACCAUAUGGAUCAAACCCACUUGGUUGAAAUCCCGGCCCACACAAUAAUCGUGUUCGUUUAACCCCGCCCGGGCCUCAAUCCCGGCCCAUCCCGGCAGUUCCCACCUCAUCCCGGCCUGGGAAAAAACCUCGUCUCGACGGCGUGGAAAGAAGCCACGUGAAGACCGCUUCUACAGCACAGAGGCGGCGGCGGCUAGGGCACAGAGGAGGCGGCGGCACGAGCUCCGUCUGCACGAGAUCUGGCGGCGACAUCUACACCGGCUCACCGGCGUCCACGAGGGGAACGCCACUGGCUGACCGGCGCCAUCCCGUCGGUGUCCGCUUCUCGCCGUAGAUCUUUACAUCGAUGUGGCCGGCCACUGGAGUACGCCCAAGUGGUAGGCAACUCGUCGAGACCCUCGGCUACACCCAAGAGGAAGCGAGGACGCGGACGGUCUGCUCCCUCGGCUGGAAAUGCGGCGAGGAUGGCACGCCGGCGGGCCUCGUCCACUGAGAGAUCGCGGCGGAUGCUCUGCUUCCCUCCGGCGUCCUAAUGAGCGAGGAAGUGGCCGAUCUCCCUCUGUGCCGCUGACGGACGUUGCUUUGGCGAGCGGAUUUUGUAUUGCGCGCCGGUUUUGUGUUGUACGACGACGACCGGCUGCCCGCCUUGUCUCAACUCUCAAGCACGGAGCAGUAGCUGGCAAACGUUCGCCUUCAAUCAAUUCAAAUGGAGCUUGCUUCCUGCCUGCCUGAAA